UACGUAGGGGGCAAGCGUUGUCCGGAAUCAUUGGGCGUAAAGCGCGUGUAGGCGGUUCGAUAAGUCUGCUGUGAAAUCCCCGGGCUUAACCUGGGAAUGGCAUUUGGGACUGCAAGGCUUGAGUGCGGCAGAGGAGACUGGAAUUCCUGGUGUAGCAGUGAAAUGCGUAGAUAUCAGGAGGAAUACCGAUGGCGAAGGCAGGUCUCUGGGCUGACACUGACGCUCAUGCACGAAAGCGUGGGGAGCAAACAGGAUUAGAGUACC
rnacentral:rRNA from 1 species